CAGCCCGCUCCCGGUAAAACGGGACGGCCCGCCAGAGGACCCCUAAACUCUGUUUCUAUAUGUAACUUCUGAGUAAAACCAUAAAUAAAUCAAAACUUUCAACAACGGAUCUCUUGGUUCUGGCAUCGAUGAAGAACGCAGCAAAAUGCGAUAAGUAAUGUGAAUUGCAGAAUUCAGUGAAUCAUCGAAUCUUUGAACGCACAUUGCGCCCGCCAGUAUUCUGGCGGGCAUGCCUGUUCGAGCGUCAUUUCAACCCUCAAGCACAGCUUGGUGUUGGGACUCGCGUUAAUUCGCGUUCCCCAAAUUGAUUGGCGGUCACGUCGAGCUUCCAUAGCGUAGUAGUAAAACCCUCGUUACUGGUAAUCGUCGCGGCCACGCCGUUAAACCCCAACUUCUGAAUGUUGACCUCGGAUCAGGUAGGAAUACCCGCUGAACUUAAGCAUAUCAA
rnacentral:rRNA from 1 species